UGAGGAAUAUUGGUCAAUGGGCGCAAGCCUGAACCAGCCAUCCCGCGUGAAGGAAGAAGGCGCUAUGCGUUGUAAACUUCUUUUCCAGGGGAAUAAAAUUUUGUACGUGUACGGAAUUGAAGGUACCCUGGGAAUAAGCAUCGGCUAACUCCGUGCCAGCAGCCGCGGUAAUACGGAGGAUGCAAGCGUUAUCCGGAUUUAUUGGGUUUAAAGGGUGCGCAGGCGGGAAAAUAAGUCAGUGGUGAAAUCCUGCAGCUUAACUGUAGAAUUGCCGUUGAUACUGUUUUUCUUGAGUAUGGUCAAGGAAGGCGGAAUGUGUAAUGUAGCGGUGAAAUGCUUAGAUAUUACACAGAACACCGAUUGCGAAGGCAGCUUUCUGGGCCGUUACUGACGCUCAUGCACGAAAGCGUGGGGAUCGAACAG
rnacentral:rRNA from 1 species